rnacentral:misc_RNA from 1 species
ACCUACUGUUUAAUUUUGAGGGUUCGUUUUUACGAAUAAUCAAAAUUAGCACUUUUAGCAACAGAAUAAACUGAACGCAUGUGAAGUUUGUUUGUUGGCGACGUGCUUUAGCACUUUGAAAACUGCAUAUAUAUUUAGUGAUAUGACAUCUAAUUUGUAAUAUAUAAAGCUGAUAACCUUUUAAAAUUAUCGAAGUUGAUAGCUUCUAAUCUAUCAAACCUUUUUAACUGGUCAA